GUGAGCCGCAACCCGCAACCCGCAUGCCGCUUGCCAACCCACCGCCUGAAGCUUGGCUUUUCCACACACAACCACAGAUCUACAGAUCAGCACCACCCCCCACUGCUGCUGGUGCCGAUUAGCACGAUCGAUACUCAUUGAUUGCAGCGUUUGGGAGAGGGAAAACCCGUUCCACAUUGGCUUCCAGUUCCAGUUCCAGCGUCAGUCUCAGUCUCAGUCUCAGUCGCGCUUCCAUGUACGAGCGCACAAUAAUUAUUCAGCUACGUACUGCAUAUUAUGUACAUACUUACGCACUCUCGUACAUAUGUACAUACAUACAUUUGCACAUGGACUUAUUGUUGAUUCUGUUGCAGUUGGCCGCUAUCAGGCCAUAAAGUGCAUGAUUAGAUUCUCGAUCCAGUGAUACGAGUACUCUGGCUGCAAGUGUAGGGUGUAAUGUGAAUGCCGCCUCUUUUUUUCCCGAAUCUUUCCAUCCAGAAUAGUUCCCAGACAUUUUGCCAGCCACAACCCCUUCGACGUUUCUCCAUUGGUGGCAUUUCCAGGCCGCAGUUAAGAAAUCCCCCGACGACACAGCUACAAAAACCCAGAGCACGAAUAUACUUAAUAACCAUCUAUAGAUGCUUAUCAAUAUCAUAAUUAUUGUGCAAUAAAUGUAAACAGCAGUCUUUGCGGACUGCUGUUCGAUUUGCUGUAUGUAAAAAUAUGUAAAAU
rnacentral:lncRNA from 1 species